rnacentral:misc_RNA from 1 species
UCCCCGUUAUGCAGGGCAGUCUGACCAGAGUGCUCCCGAUUUCUCGGGGUGGCAACAGGUCACAGGGGUUGCGCUCGUUACCGGACUUAACCGAACACCUCACGGCACGAGCUGACGACAGCCAUGCAGCACCUGUGUACGCUGGUAUUGCUACCUCGUCGGACUUUCAUCCUCCUACUACGUACAUGUCAAGGCCAGGUAAGGUUCUUCGCGUUGCAUCGAAUUAAGCCACAUGCUCCACCGCUUGUGCGGGCCCCCGUCAAUUUCUUUGAGUUUUAAUCUUGCGACCGUACUCCCCAGGCGGCGCAUUUAACGCGUUAGCUGCGAGACGGAAGGGGUCGAAUCCUCCCACCUCAAAUGCGCACCGUUUACGGCCAGGACUAC